GAAUUUUGCGAGUUCUAACCGCUAUAAUUACGUUAUGUCCUCAUGUGUGUAGCAUGAAUGAACAAACGGGAUAAAUGGUCAAGCAAUUGACGACAGGCGUUAAGCUAGUAUUUCACAUUCACUGAAGAAUCUAGAUAAACCAUUUCGUAAACUACUGUUUUUGUCAACGUUACGUAACAUAUUAUAAUCGUUUGGAUCACAAAAACCUUUAGUACCACUUCAAUUAAGAAGAAAAUUAUUUGCCUUCGACUUUUUCGGUUAUUUUCUUACUUAGUAUAAUAAGGUUUUUGCUAAGGUGAUGACAGAGAGAACGAUUUGCAAAAAGUUUGAAUAUAAGAUAUUUUUAGUAAGUUUAAUCCAUUUCAAUUAGUUGAAUAAAUUGAUGUUGAAGAAGGUGAUGGAACAGGUGUUCAGAUUUAUGUAUCGCAUGAUUGUUCAUGAAAAUGACUUAAUGUCCUCUAAAUAUUGAUAGUAAUAGUUCACCACUUUAGGAAAUAAUGAACAAGGAGUUUUGUAUUUCAUAGGGAUUAAUCUUCAAUUGUUUUAACUCAAACAUAGUCAUACACGUUGACAUUUUUUAUGCGCCUAAAAUUUUCUACCAUAUCAUACAGGUAUCGGUAAUUGCUCUAAGUCGAAAUGCUCGUUCACAUCACGCUUUGAUGUCAUGUGAAUGAAAACGAGUAAAAAAGAUUCUUAAGAUGUAGAAUUUAUUAAUUCGAAUUAGAAAGAUGACUAAUCCCACCAUGGAGAUUGCUCCAAACUUUCACUAUUCAGGAAAGCAAACCUAACAUUUUCCUGUUUGCCCAGUUUUUCCUUAUUAUUUUCAGAGCCAAAGAGGUCGAUUAACGAGUUUUCUAUUGGGCAUAGAUAAUUGUCUUCUUGAACUUGAAUAUGUUCAUUAUGAUAUAUAUUGCACUCCUCUGGUGCUGGAAGGAAAAGAGAUAGCUCCGUAUCUUUUUUGGAAUUUCGGUAUUUUAGAUAUCGCAGAAAAUUUAAUAAAGCACAUAAAAAUGCUGUCAGA